AGCAGCCGCGGUAAUUCCAGCUCCAAUAGCGUAUAUUAAAGUUGUUGCAGUUAAAAAGCUCGUAGUUGAAUUUCGGGACCAAUUUGUUGGUCGUGCCUCGGUACGUACUGGUAUUAUUGGUUUCUCCCUUCUGAAGAACCUCGAUGCCAUUAAUUUGGUGUCGUGGGGAAUCAGGACUGUUACUUUGAAAAAAUUAGAGUGUUUAAAGCAAGCAUACGCUUGAAUACAUUAGCAUGGAAUAAUGAAAUAGGACGUUUGAUUCUAUUUUGUGGUUUCUAGGAUCGACGUAAUGAUUAAUAGGGAUAGUUGGGGGCAUUAGUAUUCAAUUGUCAGAGGUGAAAUUCUUGGAUUUAUUGAAGACUAACUACUGCGAAAGCAUUUGCCAAGGAUGUUUUCAUUAAUCAAGAACGAAAGUUAGGGAUCGAAGACGAUCAGAUACCGUCGUAGUCU
rnacentral:rRNA from 1 species